rnacentral:rRNA from 1 species
GCAUGGCGUCCAAGUACAAUAGGCCGUCAGUGGGACAUCAUAGAGGGUGACAAUCCCGUCCUUGACGCCAAUGUGCAAGUCUAUUACGAUGGCUAUCUCAGAGAGUCGAGCAGUUUGGGAUUUGCUGCUUAAACAUGGGAGGUAGAUUCCUUCUAAAGCUAAAUACAGGCGAGAGACCGAUAGAGAACAAGUACCGCAAGGGAAAGAUGAAAUAGCACUCUGUGAAGGGAGUCAAAAGGCGUGAAAUUGUUGCGAGAGAAGCGAUUCAAGUCAGCGUAGCUAGGCCCAUCAAGCGUCUUCGCUUUGGACUAGCUUUGCCAGCGGUCUUGUCCCUUGAAGAGACUUGACUUGUAAUAUGUCCAGCCUGGCGUGCACAGGCAGCCCCUUCUGGGGGCCAGUGGCAUGGCUGGUGGAAUGGCUUGCAAUCGACCCGUCUUGAAACACGGACCAAGGAGUCUAACAUGUAUGCGAGUAUAAGGGUGGCAAACCCGUAUGCGCAAUGAAAGUGAUUUUCGGUGAUUGAGAAUGGCCUGAUGACCAGACAAGCAAUAUAUGUCCCUCGUACGGCCAUUGCCCAAGU